rnacentral:rRNA from 1 species
UGGGGAAUUUUGGACAAUGGGCGCAAGCCUGAUCCAGCCAUGCCGCGUGCGGGAAGAAGGCCUUCGGGUUGUAAACCGCUUUUGUCAGGGAAGAAAUCUUCUGAGUUAAUACCUCGGGAGGAUGACGGUACCUGAAGAAUAAGCACCGGCUAACUACGUGCCAGCAGCCGCGGUAAUACGUAGGGUGCAAGCGUUAAUCGGAAUUACUGGGCGUAAAGCGUGCGCAGGCGGUUUUGUAAGACAGAGGUGAAAUCCCCGGGCUCAACCUGGGAACUGCCUUUGUGACUGCAAGGCUUGAGUGCGGCAGAGGGGGAUGGAAUUCCGCGUGUAGCAGUGAAAUGCGUAGAUAUGCGGAGGAACACCGAUGGCGAAGGCAAUCCCCUGGGCCUGCACUGACGCUCAUGCACGAAAGCGUGGGGAGCAAACAGGAUUAGAUACCCUGGUAGUCCACGCCCUAAACGGUGUCAACUGGUUGUUGGGAAGGUUCCUUCUCAGUAACGUAGCUAACGCGUGAAGUUGACCGCCUGGGGAGUACGGCCGCAAGGUU